AAGAGCAAGUAACGUCUAAAUUAACUUUUUUUUGCUGAUGAACUGUAUAAAUGAGUGUCUAAUAGUGUUUUAAAUGUGUGCAUUCUUUAUUUUAGCAUUUUGGUGCAUUUUCUUUAAAAAUUAAAAAUUCUGUCUAAAAACCACAGUAAUGCGCCACCUUCAGCUGAAAACAUAGAAUUUGAGUCAUUUUGAAUAAAUUUUAGCCAAUGGCUAAAGAGUAAAGUACUACGUAAACCAGUAGAGUACUACGUAGCAGCUCCGUGCCAAAGUUAUAAAAGCAACGAGCGUCUCGGCCACGCCCUGUGGCGAGUGGGAGUUGGAUUUGCAAGCGAGUGUAGGAGGUCAGCAGUAGUUCAGCAUUAGCAUAUAGCAUUAGCAUAUCCUAGUCUUUAGCAUAUCUUUUAGUGUUAUAAAUACUUAUUUAGUGUUAGCUUGGCUGUUGUAUAUUGUAGUUUAGUUAGUGUUUGGCUGUUAGUGUAAUUGGGAAAGUAUUUCGGGUUUAGUGUUCCAUAUCGUCUUAGUAUUGGUGAGUAGGUGUAGUGUAGUAUGGUUGCGGUGACUCUGUGGGCAUUUUACCCGCGAUUCUGCACGCCUCCGUUUGAAGAGGGAGGCUGCCCACCGUGGCUCUUCCGCGAUUUAGAUGCAGCCCACCGACUCUGCUCCCCCACCACGGCGGGCUCCAGUCUGAGGUGAGUCAGCUAAAUAAACGUUUUAACAUCUUCUAAAGACAAUUCCCUACCUAAAUGCAAAGUCUGAGAGACGUGGUUCACUUCCUUUAGCUAGUCAGUCGGCAAUUCUGCAACAGUGUCUCUAACUAACGCAGCACUAGUUGACAGCAUUACAGCGUGAAAUCCAGCUUGUGACCCGGUUCUGUGAGGAAUUCUGUUCAGGAGGUCGCAUUUCAGGCUCUCCACAUCAUAUGUGACUGACUUUUACGUUAUAACAACGAUCACACACUAGGAAUGUUAUAAAGCGCCUAUAUAGGAGAUUCUUUUGUAUAUUAUCUGACUUUAUAAACUCCCAACAACAAUGUGCUUCUAUUUUUUUUUUCAGGCUAAAUCUACCCAAGACACUGGCUGUCAGACUGAUUUAGCUGCAAGAAUGCACUUGUCCAGGCUGACGUGAAGUCUUACCUGUAGCAAAGCCAGCCAGAAUGGAGUUCACAGCCGCAGUGUGUCUGGUGACCCACAGGGACCAUGAUGAAAAUUCAUCUUCCAGAAGGUCCCAGAGCGUCCAGACCCCCUGAAAAGACCAAGAUGUAAGGUGUCUGCUGUUGAUUCCAGCUUCCACCUCAGUGACAGUGCAAGCUCAGUGAACUGUUCAAGCCUGGCUGAUCACCUGAUAACUCCUGUCAUCUGGUUAUGACAGCAUGAGGAUGUCCUCACACACCUGUAACCUAUCAGAUCAUCUGGCAGAAUAGAGAGAGAAGAGACAACACCACAUCUCCUGUUCCUGGAAAGCCUUCAGCCAUCCUUCGAUGACUGAGAACCUCCAUCAGCUCUGUCUCCUGUCUGCCUACAAUUAUUAUAAUAAAUAUUGUGUUUGACAAGUUUUUUGUGCUGCCAAAUAUCUCAUUUAGAUUCCAGUUUUGAUAUUUUAAUGGAUAUUUAUAAAUUACAUUGAAUAUCACAUUUUUGUUGCAUGUUUAACUAGCU